rnacentral:rRNA from 1 species
AGAAUGAGCGCUGGCGGCGUGCUUAACACAUGCAAGUCGAGCGAGGCCAGGGGGGCAACUCCCUGAGUCGAGCGGCGGACGGGUGAGUAACACGUGGGUAACCUACCCGGAAGUGGGGAAUACCUCGGGGAAACUCGAGCUAAUACCGCAUAACAUCUCGAGGACGAAAGUUCUUGUGAUCAAAGCGGGGCCGCAAGGCCUCGUGCUACCGGAUGGGCCCGCGCCCGAUUAGCUAGUUGGCGAGGUAAUGGCUCACCAAGGCACGAUC